UUUGUGUUUUUGUUUUCUUUUUUUUUUUUGCGUUCUAUUUAUUUUUAGUUUUCAAACAUGUUUAAAAUAUUGUUUCUGUUUUGGUAGGAAGAAGGUACUUUUUCAAUAACCUACUCUCGGGGGAACUGUGUGGCAAUGGAGUGUGUGUGUGUGUGUGUGUGUGUGUGUCUUUCAGAGUUCAGCAGAGACUCUGAAGCAAGGAAAGUGUUUUGUGUUCGUCCCGCUGUGGCCUUGGUCUAGUUGUAGAUUACCACAUCCUGGGUAGUUUUACACACACCAACUUCAUGUGCUGCUGAAGCCAGAGGCUGUGAAUCUGCAGAAAAAGACCUAGUUCUUUUGAGCUCUGGUGAGAGACCCGAUACCCAACCAUUUAUUCCAGCUUUUCGAAUUUGUGCUGGUUGCAGGUUCACAGAGUAUGAAGGCCUCUGGUUCUAUUCAGCUGCCUCCUCUUUCGGUUUUUUAAUCUGUGGGCCUCCACUCAGUCAUCGAUGGGAGAAGAUUUCGGUUGGAGCUGCUUUGGCUUACAAAGGUAAUUGUAGCUGUUUGUGGAGAAAGGCUGACCUUAUAACCCCUCACCAAUUUAUCCAGAGACUAAGUACCGUCCUUUGUCGUAUAGCUGCCAUAUACCUUUUUAAUGUGCAUUAUUUCAUAUUUGUUUUUUACCAGGUGAUAUUUAGAGACAAGGAUAAAGUGACAUUGAAUGUAAAAGAAGAAAGUAUUGGUAAAGAAAUAUUCAAGGAGGUGUGUUCAAGUGGAAGGGGACGAGGAUAAACCUGUGGCUGAUUCAUGCCGAUGUUUGGUAGAAAGUAACACAGUAGUGUAAAGCAAUUACCCUUCAAUUAAAAAUAAAUAAAUUUACCAAGAGACA
rnacentral:lncRNA from 1 species